rnacentral:rRNA from 1 species
UACGGGGGGGGUAAGCGUUGUUCGGAAUUACUGGGCGUAAAGGGCUCGUAGGCGGCCAACUAAGUCAGACGUGAAAUCCCUCAGCUUAACUGGGGAACUGCGUCUGAUACUGGAUGGCUUGGAUUCGGGAGAGGAAUGCGGAAUUCCAGGUGUAGCGGUGAAAUGCGUAGAUAUCUGGAGGAACACCGGUGGCGAAGGCGGCAGUCUGGACCGAUAUUGACGCUGAGGAGCGAAAGCCAGGGGAGCAAACGGG